rnacentral:rRNA from 1 species
UACGAGGGGGGCGAGCGUUGUUCGGAAUUAUUGGGCGUAAAGGGCGCGUAGGCGGUGCGGUAAGUCACCUGUGAAACCUCUGGGCUUAACUCAGAGCCUGCAGGCGAAACUGCCGUGCUGGAGUGUGGGAGAGGUGCGUGGAAUUCCUGGUGUGAGCGGUGAAAUGCGCAGAUAUCAGGAAGAACACCCGUGGCUAAGGCGGCUCUCUAGUACGGUACUGACGCUGAGACGCGAAAGCGUGGGGAGCGAACAGG